GAUGAACGCUGGCGGCGUGCCUAAUACAUGCAAGUCGAGCGAACGGACGAGAAGCUUGCUUUUCUGAUGUUAGCGGCGGACGGGUGGGUAACACGUGGAUAACCUACCUAUAAGACUGGGAUAACUUCGGGAAACCGGAGCUAAUACCGGAUAAUAUUUUGAACCGCAUGGUUCAAAAGUGAAAGACGGUCUUGCUGUCACUUAUAGAUGGAUCCGCGCUGCAUUAGCUAGUUGGUAAGGUAACGGCUUACCAAGGCAACGAUGCAUAGCCGACCUGAGAGGGUGAUCGGCCACACUGGAACUGAGACACGGUCCAGACUCCUACGGGAGGCAGCAGUAGGGAACCUUCCGCAAUGGGCGAAAGCCUGACGGAGCAACGCCGCGUGAGUGAUGAAGGUCUUCGGAUCGUAAAACUCUGUUAUUAGGGAAGAACAUAUGUGUAAGUAACUGUGCACAUCUUGACGGUACCUAAUCAGAAAGCCACGGCUAACUACGUG
rnacentral:rRNA from 1 species